rnacentral:tRNA from 1 species
UCCCUUGUGGCUUAGCUGGCAAAGUAUCCGCCUGCAAUGUGGGAGACCUGGGUUCAAUCCCUGGGUUGGGAA